GAUAUGAUAUGGCUCAGAGAUUGUAACUUCAAGAGUUCUCAAAUGCCCCUGAGACACCCUUGGAAUCUUGACAGAAACACAGAACCUGAGUCUGCUGUCCCUGACCUGCUGAAUUCAAAUUUUCACUGUCACAAAAUCCACAGAAACGUAGAGGAGAGAAAAACAACACCUAUUUCAGAAGAUAAGAAAAGAUUCAUGGAUAAUGUUUAA
rnacentral:lncRNA from 1 species